AGCUACAUAGGAAAUGAAAACACACAUUAAAAAUAUAUGGGAAAAGAGAAGCAUUAGAAAUCAAAAGUCAACAUGGAAAAACUAAAAACUAAAUGAUACUUCUUGAAAAAUCUUAAUUUUAAUGAAAUCAUUGAAACAUUGGAAAAAAAAAUCAAUAGAUUUUCUUUUUCUUCUUCUUCUUUUUUUGUUGCUGUUGUUGUUGGGGGGAUGGGAGAGAU
rnacentral:lncRNA from 1 species